rfam:Schistosoma mansoni strain Puerto Rico chromosome 4, complete genome
AUCCAGCUGAUGAGUUCCAAAUAGGACGAAACGCGUGUCCUGGAU